rnacentral:rRNA from 1 species
CCCAUGCCGAACUCAGAAGUGAAACGCCGUGGAGCCGAUGGUAGUGUGGGGGUUCCCCCAUGUGAGAGUAGGUCACCGCCAGAC